GCGGCUGAUGUGUCAUUGGGGAAAUGUAGGGAUUGUCUGAUCUUAAUUGUUUUUUUCUCUUCUCUCCCUACUAGAAGCAAAUAAAUAGGGCAGAGGAAAAUUGAGGGAAUAUAGAAAAAACAAGAAGUCUAACAGACAUCACAGCUUUUCUCUUUACAACAAUUCCUCCUUUUUUUUCUGUAUUUUCAACCUUUCUUCUCCCUGAAUAUGCUCUUAUCUUCUGCUAAAGCCUUUAAUACUGUAACUCUUCUUAUUCCUUAGUUUCUGCAUGCAUCAAGCCAGGUUCCUAACAACUUGGUACGGGAGCCAUUUCGACCUUGGUGAUUAUGCUUUCUCCUUUUGCAUCUUCCUUCUAAUUGCUUUUCUUUUCUCCAGUUUCUCCUUCCGUUGUUUCUGUUCUAAUAUACUUCAACCUAAAAAAAUGAUGAACAUAAGAUCAAACUUCCAAAUUGAUUCAUGGGAAGAGAGCAAAUACAGGCGGGGGCACCUAAUCGAGGAAUUGACGAGGAUGCUGCAAACAAGCUACAAAUAAGAUCAAAGUUCCAAAUUGAUUUCUGGGAAGAGAGCAAAUACAGGUGGAAGCACCUAAUCGAGGAGUUGAAGAGGACGCCGCAAACAUGCUGGAGGUUUUUUCUCUCCG
rnacentral:lncRNA from 1 species